CGCGUAGGUGGCCAAUUAAGUCAAAUGUGAAACUCCCCGAGCUUAACUUGGGAAUUGCAUUCGAUACUGGUUGGCUAGAGUAUGGGAGAGGAUGGUAGAAUUCCAGGUGUAGCGGUGAAAUGCGUAGAGAUCUGGAGGAAUACCGAUGGCGAAGGCAGCCAUCUGGCCUAAUACUGACACUGAGGUGCGAAAGCAUGGGGAGCAAACA
rnacentral:rRNA from 1 species